ACUGUUUUGGCAGAGGUUAUGCAUUAGAUUUAGGAUUUAAGUAGAUAGAGUUUUCUAUAGACAGUA
rnacentral:tRNA from 1 species